UUAGAACCUAGAGGUUGAUUUAGUCAUUUUUGGCAAGAGCAAAUGUCAAGAGAGUGGUUCAGACAGAAGCCAGAUUAAACGGGCUGAGGAGGGACUAGAGAGUAACCAGAGAGGUGCAAGAGUGAGAAUUGCUAUAGACAGCUGCUUCAAGAUGUCCGGCCAUAAUUAAGUUAAGCUAUUGGUGGGAGUGUCAAUAGGUACAAACUCUUAGGAGGGACUUUGCCAUUAUUCACUAACACUUAAAAUGUUUGUACUCUUUGAUCCAAGUAGUUCAAUUUCUAGACAUGUGCCAUAAUACUUAAAAAGUGUGCAAAAGUAUAUGUACCAUUUCACAUGGUUUCUAAUAGCAGAAAGCUGGAAAAAUCAAA